rnacentral:lncRNA from 1 species
ACAUGUAGGCACUUUGGUCAUUAAAGUGGUGGAGUAAUCUUUCUCCAAAGGUUCUCAAGGUUUUACUCUUAUCUCUUGAGCCUAAGAAUAAGAGUGGUGAUGGUCUUAUCCUCGGGAGAGAUUUCGUGUAACCCAAGGCUUAUAAGGGUCGAAAAACUCUUUUCGGAAAGUGGUAUCCACGAUUCCGUCAUGAUCCAAGAUCCCCCUAAGUUCUCUGGAACAUUGUUGUGCACGAAGUUCUCAACUUGGGUAUUAUAAAGAAAUGAUUCCUAAGGUUGUAGGGAUUUAAGUAGUCCUUUUGACACCCCUACUUCCUGGGAACACAAAUGAUUUUGUGUUCUAUCAACAAGGUUUCGUUUCUAGGAAAGGAACCUCCUUUCCGAUACCCAUUGUUGAGUCAAAUCUCCAACAUAACCCACUAAAUCCCAAGUCGUCCGUUGGAUCCAUCAAACGGCCUAGGCCCAAUCCCGACACCACAACUUCAUUUGGACUCGAGGCCCACAUGUUCAUUUACAUCUCUAUUUAAAUGGCAACCCACUUUCCGUCUCUUGAAUGAUCA